CCGAAUUCGUCGACAACAGAGUUUGAUCCUGGCUCAGGACGAACGCUGGCGGCGUGCCUAAUACAUGCAAGUCGAGCGGACAGAUGGGAGCUUGCUCCCUGAAGUUAGCGGCGGACGGGUGAGUAACACGUGGGCAACCUGCCUGUAAGACUGGGAUAACUCCGGGAAACCGGGGCUAAUACCGGAUAACUCUUUUCCUCACAUGAGGAAAAGCUGAAAGAUGGUUUCGGCUAUCACUUACAGAUGGGCCCGCGGCGCAUUAGCUAGUUGGUGAGGUAACGGCUCACCAAGGCCACGAUGCGUAGCCGACCUGAGAGGGUGAUCGGCCACACUGGGACUGAGACACGGCCCAGACUCCUACGGGAGGCAGCAGUAGGGAAUCUUCCGCAAUGGACGAAAGUCUGACGGAGCAACGCCGCGUGAGUGAUGAAGGUUUUCGGAUCGUAAAACUCUGUUGUCAGGGAAGAACAAGUACCGGAGUAACUGCCGGUACCUUGACGGUACCUGACCAGAAAGCCACGGCUAACUACGUGCCAGCAGCCGCGGUAAUACGUAGGUGGCAAGCGUUGUCCGGAAUUAUUGGGCGUAAAGCGCGCGCAGGCGGUUCCUUAAGUCUGAUGUGAAAGCCCCCGGCUCAACCGGGGAGGGUCAUUGGAAACUGGGGAACUUGAGUGCAGAAGAGAAGAGUGGAAUUCCACGUGUAGCGGUGAAAUGCGUA
rnacentral:rRNA from 1 species